rnacentral:rRNA from 1 species
UUGGAGGGCAAGUCUGGUGCCAGCAGCCGCGGUAAUUCCAGCUCCAAUAGCGUAUAUUAAAGUUGUUGCAGUUAAAAAGCUCGUAGUUGGAUUUCGGGGUUAGUAGGUUGGUCAUGCCUCUGGUAUGCACUGGUCUCACUGAUUCCUCCUUCCUGAUGAGCCGUAAUGCCAUUAAUUUGGUGUUGCGGGGAAUUUGGACUGUUACUUUGAAAAAAUUAGAGUGUUUAAGGCAAGCUAACGCUUGAAUACAUUAGCAUGGAAUAAUGAAAUAGGACGUUCGAUCCUAUUUUGUUGGUUUCUAGGAUUGACGUAAUGAUUAAUAGGGAUAGUUGGGGGCAUUAGUAUUCAAUUGUCAGAGGUGAAAUUCUUGGAUUUAUUGAAGACUAACUACUGCGAAAGCAUUUGCCAAGGAUGUUUUCAUUAAUCAAGAACGAAAGUUAGGGGAUCGAAGACGAUCAGAUACCGUCGUAGUCUUAACCAUAAACUAUGCCGACUAGGGAUCGGAUGAUGUUAAUUUUUUAAUGACUCAUUCGGCGCCUUACGGGAAACCAAAGUGUUUGGGUUC